GACGAACGCUGGCGGCGUGCCUAAUACAUGCAAGUCGAACGAACAUGGACGCAAGUAAAUGUUAGUGGCGAACGGGUGAGUAACACGUAAGUGACCUGUCUGUCAGACGAGGAUAACUACUGGAAACGGUAGCUAAGACUGGAUAGGAUAGAAAUAUUUAAAGAUGCUUAUGGCAUCACUGACAGAGGGGCUUGCGGCGCAUUAGCUAGUUGGUGGGAUAAGAGCCUACCAAGGCAACGAUGCGUAGCCGACCUGAGAGGGUGACCGGCCACACUGGGACUGAGACACGGCCCAGACUCCUACGGGAGGCAGCAGUAGGGAAUCUUCGGCAAUGGACGCAAGUCUGACCGAGCGACGCCGCGUGAGCGAAGAAGAUCUUCGGAUUGUAAAGCUCUGUUAUUAGGGAAGAACGAACUUAACAGGAAAUGGUUAAGAAGUGACGGUACCUAAUGAGAAAGCCACGGCUAACUACGUG
rnacentral:rRNA from 1 species